GACGAACGCUGGCGGCGUGCCUAAUACAUGCAAGUAGAACGCUGAAGGAGGAGCUUGCUUCUCUGGAUGAGUUGCGAACGGGUGAGUAACGCGUAGGUAACCUGCCUGGUAGCGGGGGAUAACUAUUGGAAACGAUAGCUAAUACCGCAUAAGAGUAGAUGUCGCAUGACAUUUGCUUAAAAGGUGCAAUUGCAUCACUACCAGAUGGACCUGCGUUGUAUUAGCUAGUUGGUGAGGUAACGGCUCACCAAGGCAACGAUACAUAGCCGACCUGAGAGGGUGAUCGGCCCAACUGGGACUGAGAACCGGCCCAGACUCCUAAGGGAGGCAGCAGUAGGGAAUCUUCGGCCAUGGACGGAAGUCUGAACGAGCAACGCCGCGUGAGUGAAGAAGGUUUUCGGAUCGGAAAGCUCUGUUGUAAGAGAAGAACGAGUGUGAGAGUGGAAAGUUCACACUGUGACGGUAUCUUACCAGAAAGGGACGGCUAACUACGUG
rnacentral:rRNA from 1 species